rnacentral:lncRNA from 10 species
AAAAAAAAAAAAGAAAAGAAAAAAAGAAAAGAAGUUGAAGGAGAUGAACUGAUCUCUGGGAAUAGAGUCUGCCGCCAUCCUUCCUGCAUCAACCAGGGGUGCUCUUCUCAGGGAUCACUUACAUGGGAGGAAGCCAGUUUCUAUGUUGUGAGUUGCCCUUAUGGAAAUGUCCAUGUGGCCAGAAACUGAGGAAGGCCUUUAGCCAACAGUCGGAGAGGAGCUGAGCCUCUUGGUUCAACAGAUGGUAAGAAACUGAGGCCUGCCAACAACCACAAGAAUGGGCUUGGAAGCUGAUCCUUUAGCCCCAGAAUUAUAGUUUUAUUAAGUAAGGCAACAGAACUCAACAUUUGUUA